rnacentral:rRNA from 1 species
UACGUAGGGUGCAAGCGUUAAUCGGAAUUACUGGGCGUAAAGCGUGCGCAGGCGGUUAUGUAAGACAGUUGUGAAAUCCCCGGGCUCAACCUGGGAAUUGCAUCUGUGACUGCAUAGCUAGAGUACGGUAGAGGGGGGAUGGAAUUCCGCGUGUAGCAGUGAAAUGCGUAGAUAUGCGGAGGAACACCGAUGGCGAAGGCAAUCCCCUGGACCUGUACUGACGCUCAUGCACGAAAGCGUGGGGAGCAAACGAGG